UACGAAGGGGGGCUAGCGUUGCUCGGAAUGACUGGGCGUAAAGGGCGCGUAGGCGGAUGGCACAGUCAGAUGUGAAAUUCCCGGGCUUAACCUGGGGGCUGCAUUUGAUACGUGUGAUCUAGAGUGAGGAAGAGGGUCGUGGAAUUCCCAGUGUAGAGGUGAAAUUCGUAGAUAUUGGGAAGAACACCGGUGGCGGAAGGCGGCGACCUGGUCCUUGACUGACGCUGAGGCGCGAAAGCGUGGGGAGCAAACAGG
rnacentral:rRNA from 1 species